rnacentral:lncRNA from 1 species
CUGCCACUGUAAUUUUUUUUCCUAAUCACUCAUAGGUUACAAGUACCUACCCUGGUCCAGUGAACUGCGGGAUUCAUAUGUGGCCAGAGUUCUGGCUUCAUACCUGAGCCAAAAGCCCCAAUCCAUGCUUGGCCAUUGCCUGAGUAUUAGCUGCCCCAGGGGGAUCACGGUCCCCAUAUAUUUGCUUGCCAUGGACCCUGGGCAGCAGGGAGAGAGUAGAGAUUUGUCAA